GGGGAUAUAGCUCAGUUGGUAGAGUGCUUGCCUUGCAUGCACAAGGUCCUGGGUUCAAUCCCUAGCACCACCA
rnacentral:tRNA from 1 species